UGGUAGUGUAUUGGACAACCAUGGUUUCUACGGGUAACGGAGAAUUAGGUACGUUUGAUUGCUAUUGCAUCCCAAGUUGCGAUGUAGAAUAGAAGUAAUCAAUAGAAUUAAUUCAUUAACAAUUCAUUUUUUAGGGUUCGAUUCCGGAGAGGGAGCCUGAGAAACGGCUACCACAUCCAAGGAAGGCAGCAGGCGCGCAAAUUACCCAAUUCUGAUACAGAGAGGUAGUGACAAGAAAUACUGAUAGAGAACUCUUUUGGGUUUUCUAAUUGGAAUGAGUACAAUCUAAACCCCUUAACGAGGAACAAUUGGAGGGCAAGUCUGGUGCCAGCAGCCGCGGUAAUUCCAGCUCCAAUAGCGUAUAUUAAAGUUGUUGCAGUUAAAAAGCUCGUAGUUGAAACUUGGGUCUGGCUGACCGGUCCGCCUCACCGCGUGCACUGGCUUGGCCGGGCCUUUCCUUCUGGGGAAUUGCAUGCCCUUCAUUGGGUGUGUUAAGGAUCCAGGACUUUUACUUUGAAAAAAUUAGAGUGUUCAAAGCAGGCAUAUGCUCGAAUACAUUAGCAUGGAAUAAUAGAAUAGGGCGUGUGGUUCUAUUUUGUUGGUUUCUAGACCAAACGCAAUGAUUAAUAGGGAUAGCCGGGGGCAUCUGUAUUCCGCUGUCAGAGGUGAAAUUCUUGGAUUUGCGGAAGACAAACUACUGCGAAAGCAUUUGCCAAGGAUGUUUUC
rnacentral:rRNA from 1 species